rnacentral:rRNA from 1 species
UACGUAGGGUGCAAGCGUUAAUCGGAAUUACUGGGCGUAAAGCGUGCGCAGGCGGCUUUGCAAGACAGAUGUGAAAUCCCCGGGCUCAACCUGGGAACUGCAUUUGUGACUGCAUGGCUAGAGUACGGUAGAGGGGGAUGGAAUUCCGCGUGUAGCAGUGAAAUGCGUAGAUAUGCGGAGGAACACCGAUGGCGAAGGCAAUCCCCUGGACCUGUACUGACGCUCAUGCACGAAAGCGUGGGAGCAAACAGG